GACGAACGCUGGCGGCGUGCUUAACACAUGCAAGUCGAACGGAAAGGCCCUGCUUUUGUGGGGUGCUCGAGUGGCGAACGGGUGAGUAACACGUGAGUAACCUGCCCUUGACUUUGGGAUAACUUCAGGAAACUGGGGCUAAUACCGGAUAGGAGCUCCUGCUGCAUGGUGGGGGUUGGAAAGUUUUGGCGGUUGGGGAUGGACUCGCGGCUUAUCAGCUUGUUGGUGGGGUAGUGGCUUACCAAGGCUUUGACGGGUAGCCGGCCUGAGAGGGUGACCGGCCACAUUGGGACUGAGAUACGGCCCAGACUCCUACGGGAGGCGGCAGUGGGGAAUAUUGCACAAUGGGCGGAAGCCUGAUGCAGCAACGCCGCGUGCGGGAUGACGGCCUUCGGGUUGUAAACCGCUUUCGCCUGUGACGAAGCGUGAGUGACGGUAAUGGGUAAAGAAGCACCGGCUAACUACGUG
rnacentral:rRNA from 1 species